CCUGAGACUCUGCAUUUUAACAAGCCCCUAAGUGAUGACUCACUGUUGGUUUUUUACAUAGCAAAGUUCUCAAAGAUGAGAAUAAGACAGACCUCAUCACCAUUACAAUAUAAGGAAACCGAGACUUGGAAAGUGAAGUAAUUUGUCCAUGAUCACACAGCUAAAUUGUGGUGGAGCUGCGCUUUGAAUGCCUCAGAAACUGUUCCAUAACUCCACUACUCCACUGCUUCUCCUGAAUGCAGAACUAAUGUAAUGAACAAAUGGUCACUCAUGCAUUACCUUUGAAAUUUAACAUGCUCAUAUAAUCAUAGAGUCUGAAGUUAGAAGAUCAUCUACUUUAAUGAUCUAUCCAACCCUUAAACCUCCUUUAUCAUAUGCCUAAGUCACAAUCUGCCUUUUGCUUCAGUAACACCCAUGAGGUAUCUGUACCAUGUCCAAAGAAAAAAGGAACGCCUUCAUCUUCAGACUGCUCUAUUGGGAAGUUCUUUAUAUCAAGCAAAAAUCUUUCUUCUUGAAAACUCUGUCUACUGACAUUAAUUUUACCCAAGAG
rnacentral:lncRNA from 1 species